CGCCUUGCUAGCAGCCGCGGUGAUACGGAGGGUGCAAGCGUUAAUCGGAAUUACUGGGCGUAAAGCGCACGCAGGCGGUUUGUUAAGUCAGAUGUGAAAUCCCCGGGCUCAACCUGGGAACUGCAUCUGAUACUGGCAAGCUUGAGUCUCGUAGAGGGGGGUAGAAUUCCAGGUGUAGCGGUGAAAUGCGUAGAGAUCUGGAGGAAUACCGGUGGCGAAGGCGGCCCCCUGGACGAAGACUGACGCUCAGGUGCGAAAGCGUGGGGAGCAAACAGGAUUAGAUACCCUGGUAGUCCACGCCGUAAACGAUGUCGACUUGGAGGUUGUGGCUUCCGGAGCUAACGCGUUAAGUCGACCGCCUGGGGAGUACGGCCGCAAGGUUAAAACUCAAAUGAAUUGACGGGGGCCCGCACAAGCGGUGGAGCAUGUGGUUUAAUUCGAUGCAACGCGAAGAACCUUACCUGGUCUUGACAUCCAGGUGCUGCAUGGCUGUCGUCAGCUCGUGUUGUGAAAUGUUGGGUUAAGUCCCGCAACGAGCGCAACCCUUAUCCUUUGUUGCAACUCAAAGGAGACUGCCAGUGAUAAACUGGA
rnacentral:rRNA from 1 species